AGAUGAGGGUGCUGGGAAGGCUUCUCCAUCAGCUUGGAUGAAGAAAGUUCUGAAGCCCUUGGAGCCUCCUGCAGAUGUGUCUACAGGGAGGACUUCUCCAGCUCCUACCUUGGAUGCUGCACUCAAGCCCAGCUCCCAUCACAGGGGUACUCCAACAGGGAAGAUCCAAGACAGAACAGACAAGAUAUCCCUGGAAUCACCCAAAGAGAUAAGGCAAGAGCUGAAGGAUCUCCUGCAGACAAGACAAGGUGGGUGCAUUUCCCUC